CUGCUGCCUCCCGUAGGAGUCUGGUCCGUGUCUCAGUACCAGUGUGGGGGACCUUCCUCUCAGAACCCCUACGCAUCGUCGGUUAGGUGGGCCGUUACCCCGCCUACUGCCUAAUGCGCCGCAUGCCCAUCCCUGUCCGGCCGAAGCCUUUCCUGCCUCCGGGAUGCCCCGGUGGCAUGUACGCGGGUUUAGCCCGCCUUUCGGCGGGUUGUCCCCCUGACAGGGGCAGGCUGCAUACGUGUUACUCACCCGUGCGCCGGUCGCCGGCGGAAG
rnacentral:rRNA from 1 species